AAAAAAAAAAAGAAAGAAAUUUUUUUUAGACUAUCGGAAAAGCACAGAUAAUUGCAAGUUGCAAGACGAUCCCAAAUUUCCGCAAUGCAAAGCAAAAAUUUCAUGGAUGCAAGGUAACUGGCAAUCAGAUCCGUUUUAUAAAAACAACGGAGUUGAUGGAUCACUGUGCUCAAUAAUAAAUUAUUUGAGUAAGGUGGAAAAAUUUUGUCCUUGUGCUGUACCAAUAGAUUCUCGUUACCCAGAAUGCGCAAAUAAAGUU
rnacentral:lncRNA from 1 species